UGCAUCACUGAUGAUGAUCUGGCUCCCUCUACUGAAUAUUGUGAGGAAAGUGCCACUGUUACCCAAUGUUGUCUGAGAUGCA
ensembl:snoRNA SNORD100 small nucleolar RNA SNORD100